rnacentral:rRNA from 1 species
UACGGAGGGUGCAAGCGUUAUCCGGAAUCACUGGGUUUAAAGGGUGCGUAGGCGGAAUAAUAAGUCAGAGGUGAAAGCCCGUCGCUUAACGAUGGAACUGCCUUUGAUACUGUUAUUCUUGAAUUAGGUUGAGGUAGGCGGAAUGUGGCAUGUAGCGGUGAAAUGCAUAGAUAUGCCAUAGAACACCAAUUGCGAAGGCAGCUUACUAGACCUUAAUUGACGCUGAGGCACGAAAGCGUGGGGAGCGAACAGG